UUCGUCAGCUAGCUCUCUGCAAUGGUCUCACAUGGUCGCCCACUAAAGCUAGGCAGGGCUGCACCUGGUUAGUAACUGGAUGAGAGACCACAUGGGAAAGCUAGGUUGCUGUCGGAA
ensembl:rRNA 5S_rRNA 5S ribosomal RNA